UACGGAGUGUGCAAGCGAUGUCCGGAAUUAUUGGGUUUAAAGGGUGCGUAGGCGGGCUAAUAAGUCAGAGGUGAAAUCCUACAGCUUAACUGUAGAACUGCCUUUGAUACUGUUAGCCUUGAGUAUGGUUAAGGUAGGCGGAAUUGACGGUGUAGCGGUGAAAUGCAUAGAUAUCGUCAAGAACACCAAUUGCGUAGGCAGCUUACUGGGCCAUAACUGACGCUGAGGCACGAAAGCGUGGGUAGCGAACAGG
rnacentral:misc_RNA from 1 species